rnacentral:rRNA from 1 species
GACGAACGCUGGCGGCGCGCCUAACACAUGCAAGUCGAACGAGCGAGAGAGAGCUUGCUUUCUCGAGCGAGUGGCGAACGGGUGAGUAACGCGUGAGGAACCUGCCUCAAAGAGGGGGACAACAGUUGGAAACGACUGCUAAUACCGCAUAAGCCCACGACCCGGCAUCGGGUAGAGGGAAAAGGAGCAAUCCGCUUUGAGAUGGCCUCGCGUCCGAUUAGCUAGUUGGUGAGGUAACGGCCCACCAAGGCGACGAUCGGUAGCCGGACUGAGAGGUUGAACGGCCACAUUGGGACUGAGACACGGCCCAGACUCCUACGGGAGGCAGCAGUGGGGAAUAUUGCACAAUGGGGGAAACCCUGAUGCAGCGACGCCGCGUGGAGGAAGAAGGUCUUCGGAUUGUAAACUCCUGUUGUUGAGGAAGAUAAUGACGGUACUCAACAAGGAAAUGACGGCUAACUACGU